rnacentral:rRNA from 1 species
ACUUAUGACCAUAACACCCUCAGCAUCCCCGAUCUUGUCUGAUUUCAAAAGCUAAGUAGGGUUGUGCCUUGUUAGUACUUGGAUAGGAGACUGCCUGGCAGUACUGUACGCUUUUUCACUC